rnacentral:rRNA from 1 species
AACGAACGCUGGCGGUAUGCUUUACACAUGCAAGUCGAACGAACUUAGGCUCAGCUUGCUGAGAACGGUUAGUGGCAAAACGGGUGAGUAACGCGUGGGAACCUACCUUGUAGUACGGAAUAGCCAUUGGAAACGAUGAUUAAUACCGUAUACGCUCUACGGAGGAAAGAUUUAUCGCUAUAAGAUGGGCCCGCGUUGGAUUAGUUGUGGUGGGUAAUGGCCUACCAAGACUACGAUCUAUAACUGGUUUGAGAGGAUGAUCAGUCACACUGGAACUGAGACACGGUCCAGACUCCUACGGGAGGCAGCAGUGGGGAAUAUUGGACAAUGGGCAAAGCCUGAUCCAGCAAUACCGCGUGAGUGAUGAAGGCCCUAGGGUUGUAAAGCUCUUUCAAUAGGAAGAUAAUGACGGUACCUAUAGAAGAAG